rnacentral:rRNA from 1 species
GACGAACGCUGGCGGCGUGCCUAAUACAUGCAAGUCGAACGCUUCUUUCCUCCCGAGUGCUUGCACUCAAUUGGAAAGAGGAGUGGCGGACGGGUGAGUAACACGUGGGUAACCUACCCAUCAGAGGGGGAUAACACUUGGAAACAGGUGCUAAUACCGCAUAACAGUUUAUGCCGCAUGGCAUAAGAGUGAAAGGCGCUUUCGGGUGUCGCUGAUGGAUGGACCCGCGGUGCAUUAGCUAGUUGGUGAGGUAACGGCUCACCAAGGCCACGAUGCAUAGCCGACCUGAGAGGGUGAUCGGCCACACUGGGACUACGACACGGCCCAGACUCCUACGGGAGGCAGCAGUAGGGAAUCUUCGGCAAUGGACGAAAGUCUGACCGAGCAACGCCGCGUGAGUGAAGAAGGUUUUCGGAUCGUAAAACUCUGUUGUUAGAGAAGAACAAGGACGUUAGUAACUGAACGUCCCCUGACGGUAUCUAACCAGAAAGCCACGGCUAACUACGUG